UACGGGGGGGGCCAGCGUUGUUCGGAAUUCCUGGGCGUAAAGGGCUCGUAGGCGGCCACCUAAGUCAGACGUGAAAUCCCUCGGCUUAACCGGGGAACUGCAUCUGAUACUGGAUGGCUUGAGUUCGGGAGAGGGAUGCGGAAUUCCAGGUGUAGCGGUGAAAUGCGUAGAUAUCUAGAGGAACACCGGUGGCGAAGGCGGCAUCCUGGACCGACACUGACGCUGAGGAGCGAAAGCCAGGGGAGCAAACGGG
rnacentral:rRNA from 1 species